GUGACAAAAAAUACACUAGUGCCAGUGGUGGGCACCUUCCAACAUUCUGAAAAAAACACUGAUUUCUGCCAAACAUUGUGGCCUGAGACCCAGCAUCCUAGCAUGGGAGACAAUCACCCACAAUUCCAAAAAGGGAGAGGGAGAGAGAGAA